GACGAACGCUGGCGGCGUGCCUAAUACAUGCAAGUUGAGCGCUGAAGGUUGGUACUUGUACCAACUGGAUGAGCAGCGAACGGGUGAGUAACGCGUGGGGAAUCUGCCUUUGAGCGGGGGACAACAUUUGGAAACGAAUGCUAAUACCGCAUAAAAACUUUAAACACAAGUUUUAAGUUUGAAAGAUGCAAUUGCAUCACUCAAAGAUGAUCCCGCGUUGUAUUAGCUAGUUGGUGAGGUAAAGGCUCACCAAGGCGAUGAUACAUAGCCGACCUGAGAGGGUGAUCGGCCACAUUGGGACGGAGACACGGCCCAAACUCCUACGGGAGGCAGCAGGAGGGAAUCUUCGGCAAUGGACGAAAGUCUGACCGAGCAACGCCGAGGGAGUGAAGAAGGGUGUCGGAUCGUAAAACUCGGUUGGUAGAGAAGAACGUUGGUGAGAGUGGAAAGCUCAUCAAGUGACGGUAACUACCCAGAAAGGGACGGCUAACUACGUG
rnacentral:rRNA from 1 species